rnacentral:tRNA from 1 species
CAAAGUGUAGCUAAAAAAAGCACCUCGCUUACUCCGAGCUAAUGUCUUCUAUUACAGACCUCUUUGA